AUACGUUCCAAAUGCAUCUGUCAGAAUUUUAUGGGUCCAACGUGACGACCUGGCUGACGCACACAAAGGAGGCAUCUCUGUUGUGUGUUUGGUCGCUAACACACGCCUCCCUGCCUGGCGAGGUUACCGUGGCAACAGGCAAACAUCCCUCUCUGCUGACUGACGGCGGUUUGGGUGCGACUCGCUGUGUUUGUUCCAGCGUGUUGGAGAGCAGCAGGAAUCUUCAGCAGACAGAUGUGGCAGCUGGACCACACCAGCCAAUAGGAGGCCAGAGCCUGGUGGCCGUUAGUCACAUGACUGCUGCUGCUUCCUGUCCGACCAUGGCCUCCUCAGUGAGGAAACAAACAGAGACAACAUCAGAGACGGCCCCACCUACCUGCAUGAUGAUCACUGAAGUGGAGUUUCCAGUCUGAAAGCAGGAUUCCACACAAAGUACUGCUUUAACUUCAAAGGUUAUUUCAGACAAAACUCCAUUUAUCAGGACUAAAUGUGACUUUAUGUUCAGCUACUGACACUUCUCAAGGUUUAUUCCACCCAAACAGUCUGAGUGAUUAAACUACGCAGCCAGUUUGUGUUAUAUUUUUGUAUUCCUUUUGACAUCCUUGUGAAGAUGUUUAUCAGACUGAUCAGUGGCACGAUGAGUCACACUGUGGUUUGUAAUUUUAUCUCUGGAUUCCAUCGUUUCCUCUCAGCGUUCAGAAAAAUACGUGUUUUUAUUUAUUUCUCCAGCACGUUUCUUUUUACUGUCUGCAGAUGAUAUUUACAUGGAUAUAGACUUUAUUAAGUAGUGAUACCGAUGUUUUUCUGCAGGUUUUCUUUAUCUAGUAUCUUUAUUUCACACACAGUCAGGUCUGGUCUGGACGAAUCUGAGGACGAAACAUCUGGAGAUGGAAACUAUCACCAGUGAACCUGAUAACCAGUGAACCUGAUCACCAGUUAAACUGGAACAGCGGCACCAAUAGAUGACCAGUAUCACUGAAAACAACAUCUGUGGUUAACAGGACAAAUUCCAGCUCUCUCCAAAUCAGCAUCAGACACAUGAUUGAUCUUCUUAAACUGUUCUCCAGCAGAACCUCCUGACUCUCAUUAUAGAACAAUGUGGAGCUCCAUGAUUUCUGUGUGGGGUUUUCACUCUCAAAAACAGAAUAAAAUAGGAAAAGGGCUCGAGGACAGCCAUUCUAGAUGUGUUCACGGUCCAGACCAGCUCUAAACUGUUCUUCCUCGGUGACUUCCGGUGUUGCUACAAAAUAAAACAACAGCCGUAUUUUGUAUUUCGGGUUUAAAAGCUCGACCAAAAAAGAAUUACAGACAAACUUUAACAAAAGCUGCCUGGGAGUUUACAGGUUUUUAUGUUAAAUUUCUUCAGUAAUUUAAUGAGAGUUAUUAGCAAAAAUCAAGUGUUCAUUUGAUGAACUUCAUUUCCUAAAAACAUCCAGAAUUGGAGCUCAUAUCUUUGACAGCUGUAAAGUUUCUGCUCCUUCAAAGUUCACAACACAAUGAAUGAAUUCCUAAAACACUCUCAAUGCUGGAGAGCAUUUGAUGCUGAAGCAGUGAGCAGUUUUUCUGUUUCUUCUCUGGAGAUGCACAAUGAGGGACGUCUGCAGCGACUGAGAAAGAGUCUCACCACAUCCUGACAUGAGGAAAAAGACUUUAUUGAAGACUACAAUGAGAAAAACUAUCAGACAGCAGACGGCUGCAUUCAAGUCUGUAGCUGCUGAAUUCAUGGAUGAAUCAUCUGGCACUAGAGAGGAAGACCAUCAAACAUCCACGUCAGCUGAUGGAGGUCCAAGAGUCUCACCCAACAAACAACCUACAGAGUGAAGACCUCCAAUCUGAUUGGACGGCCUCCUAUUCAGCCACAUGUGUGAACAAAUGCCUCUAAGUUGAUUUGUUUUCUAAAAUAAAUCUAGUUUGUGUCCUAAUCUAUGCCUGUGUGUUUGCUUCUUUACACCGCUGUUAACAGUUUAGGCUGUUAGAUUGUUCCAGAUAAGACAAGUACAAGAUUCUUCAGAGCCUUUCUACCACGAGCCUGACAGGAAGAACUCCAACAGCUACUGAAUGUUCCUGUGGUUCCCUCAAGGCUACAGGAGGAGUCCUACGAGGACGAGCUGGUCCACCUGAUGGUGGCCAGUCACUGCGGUUCAAAGCCAACACCGACUACGUGGACUUCUACUGGACCACAUGGAGGCCUUCAAACCGGACCAACAAGUUCAGCGACUCCCCGACUCGUGGGUCUGAGGACGCCGCCGAGCCUCGGUCCAGCCGGCCUCCUGUCUGUGGGUGUUUGAGUGCUGAGAGGUUUGUGGAUGCAUGUGAACGUUCUGUGUUGAAACAGCAGCUUUGGACUCAGUAACGCCGGGAAAAACCAAGAGCUCCUUUAUUUGUGACUUCCACUAAAAAAACUGAAGAAAAUAAGUUUGCCAGGGUUCUGACUGAUAACAGAUUAUUAAAUAAUGAAAAUAAUCCUUUAAAUGUUCCUUUAAACAAUCCUUUUAGGUCUACAUUUCCUUUACACUGACUUCUUGGUGCAUGUACAAGUAUUUUGGGUGGAAUAUACCAAUAAGCCCAAUGUUCAAGGGUUCUUCUGGGAAUAUAUCAUUAAACCAACCUUUUAGGUAAAUGUUCCAGGAUGUUGGGUAGAAUAUACCAUCAGAUCAACCUUUUAGGUCUACAUUGGAAGAUUUUAGAGUAGAAUAUUGCUCCAAAC
ensembl:lncRNA